rnacentral:rRNA from 1 species
AUGACCUGCGGCGGCCUCCCAAGCUCGACGGCGCCGGCGCCGAUGCCGACGGUGGCGGCCCCGCUGGAGGACGAGAACCUCCUCCCGGAGAUCCUCGUCCGCCUAGCCCGGCUGCCGUCCGCCCUCCCGCGCGCCUCCCUCGUCUGCAAGCGCUGGCGCCUCCUCGUCUCCGACCGACGCUUCGUCCGCCGCUUCCGCGCCCACCACCUCCGCAGUCCCCCUCCCCUGAUCGGAUUCUUCGAGGAGGUCACCCGCGAGCCCUCCCCGGACUCACCCAGCAGCCUCUUCUUCACCCCGAUCCUGGAUCCCCCCAACCGCGUCCCGGUCAGCCGCUUCUCCCUGAGCUUCCGCAACGGCGACGGCCGCACGAUCCUCGGCUGCCGCGACGGUCUCGUGCUCCUCGUCGACGCGGGGGGUGCCGAGAUCGAGGUCCUGGUGUGGGACCCCAUCACCGGCGACCAGCACCGCUUCGUCGUCCCUCCGGCGAUCGACGAGCGCCAGGUCAUCGAGAUCUUAAACGGCGCGGUUCUCCGCACCGCCGGGAUCCUCGACGACCGCCCAUUCCGGUUCCAUGUGGUCUUGGCGGGCAUCGACAGGCCAAACAAGCGGCUGUUCGCCUGCGUUUACUCGUCGGAGGCCGGCAAAUGGGGUGAUCCAAUCUGGGUAUCCGUGGAUUCCGAGAGCGACGUUCGCACCACGGUUUCGAUGCGUGUUUCGAGUACCCUGGUUGGGAAUUCCCUCUACUGGUCGCUGAAUGGGGAUACUGCUGCCAUCCUUCAGUUUGAUUUGGGCACACAACGCCUGGCUGUGAUACCUCUGCCACUGGAUAAGUGCAGCGAUGGCAGCCGCUCCUUCCGGGCUAUGCCCGUGGACGGUGGCGGGCUUGGCAUCCUUGAGCUGUUGGAUUUCAACAUCCAAUUGUGGAAAAGGGAGAUCGACCGUGACGGUGUUGUUUCAUGGGUGCUGGGGAAAACUAUUGAAUUGGAUCAGCUUCUUUCCCUGGACAAGAGGGGAAUGAGUCCAAUGAUGCUGGGGUAUUGCGAGGUCAAUAAUGUGGUGUUCCUAAGGACAGUAUUCAGUAUUUUCUUGGUCCAGCUUGAGUCAUUGAAGUUCAACAAGCCGCCCAUACAGGCAUCUUACUUCUUGGUUCAUCCAUUCACAAGUGUUUAUACUGCAGACAUGGGCAUUGGUGGUGGACCUGAUGAAGCCAAACUUCUGUGUAAUGCAAUGCAUAAGGUGACUGUAUUGUGA